rnacentral:lncRNA from 1 species
CUACAAGUAAUGAAAAAAGCUUUAAAAAAAGUAUAUUACAAAAAUACUGAACAUCAGGGAAAAUUGAAAUUAGAUUGUCGCUUAUCAAAUGGCAAAAUAAAAAGCUCAAACACAUCAAAUUAUAGAGAAGAGUUGUCAUACACAGACAAUCCAAGAUUCAACAUGACACCAAAUCUAAAGGACAUAAAAUAUUUACAUAUAACCCGAGGAAACCAGUAGCAGGAUAAGCACCUGAUAUAUACCCUGGUUUAUAACAUGUCGUUAUAAAAAAAAAGCUAGUUAUAAACUCUCAAGUCGGUAUUAGUUGAUUUAUUUACUUGGGACUUUAAGCAUUUAUUGGAUCUAGUUAAAGGUUCCGCUAAAUAAAUUAGGUUCAUAAUAAAAGAGAGACGAAAGAUACCAGUGGGACUUUCAAACUUUUUAAGGGAGCUACCAUUUGAUUUUUAGGGGGGGGGGGGGGGGGGGGGCUAGGAUGAAAUUUGAUAAAAAUAGGCAGGACAGGAGUCUUAAGUAAAAAAAAAAGAAAAGAGGAUGAGCAACUUGGUAAAAAAUAAGGCAGGACGACAAUUUAGGUAAAAAAAAGUCAGGAUAAACUUAAAAAAAAAAGGCAGGACCGAACAGAGUGAAAAAUAAAAAGGCAGGACAGAGAUUACAGCUAAAAAAAAAUGCAGCACAAAAUUUUUCAUUCUAGCCCCCCCCAUAAAAAUCAAAUGGUAGCUCCCUAAGUUGAAUAUAAAAUGACAACUCCGUGGCUAAAAAAAGACUAACAACAGUACACAAAGCACAACAUAGAAAAAAAUACUGAGAAACACCAAAACUGGGAAUGAUGACAGAUAUUCCAGAAGGGUAAGCAAAUCAUGCUUCACAUGUGACACCUGUCGUGUAGCAACCUCUCAAUUCGUAUCGCUUCACAUGUGACACCUGUCGUGUAGCAACCUCUCAAUUCUUAUCGC